UAGGGAAUCUUCCGCAAUGGGCGAAAGCCUGACGGAGCAACGCCGCGUGAGUGAUGAAGGUCUUCGGAUCGUAAAACUCUGUUAUCAGGGAAGAACAUAUGUGUAAGUAACUAUGCACGUCUUGACGGUAUCUAAUCAGAAAGCCACGGCUAACUACGUGCCAGCAGCCGCGGUAAUACGUAGGUGGCAAGCGCUAUCCGGAAUUAUUGGGCGUAAAGCGCGCGUAGGCGGUUUUUUAAGUCUGAUGUGAAAGCCCACGGCUCAACCGUGGAUGGUCAUUGGAAACUGGAAAACUAGAGUGCAGAAGAGGAAAGUGGAAUUCCAUGUGUAGAGGUGAAAUGCGCAGAGAUAUGGAGGAACACCAGUGGCGAAGGCGACUUUCUGGUCUGUAACUGACGCUAAUGUGCGAAAGCGUGGAGAUCAAGCAGG
rnacentral:rRNA from 1 species